UUUUUAAACUAGGGAAGAGGUACAAUGACUUUAAACUAGUCCUUAACUUACUUAUUAUAAAUAAAUUAUUGGUUUAAUUGCACUUUUGGACCCCUAUCUUUCCAAAAGUUGCGGUUAUGGACCCCUAACUAAUUUAAAUACAAAACAACCCCCUAUGUUUUGAUUCUUUGGCAGUUUUGGACCCCCAGUCCAUUGUUGACUCGGUCAACGCUGACGUGGCACCCUAAGUGAGGUGCCACGUGUCAAUAUUAUUUAUUUAUUUUUCCUUGGGGUCCAAAACUGCCAAAGAAUCAAAACAUAGGGGGCUGUUUUGUAUUUAAAUUAGUUAGGGGUCCAUAACCGCAACUUUUAGAAAGAUAGGGGUCCAAAAGUGCAAUUAAGCCUACAUUAUUUCUAUUUGUUUACAUAAUUCUACAUGUUCAUGUCAACCAAUUUUUACGUCUAAAGUGAACAAUAAAAGUAUAUGUCAUUUUAAAAUUAAACUUUAAAGAGCAUUGAUAACUGAACACAUUUUUUUAGACACAAUAGGGACACCAUAAGCAAUUUAGACUUUUUAACAUUAAAGUAAGGGCAUUGUUGUAAAUACACCACAUCUCUAUUCUUCAUCCCUUCUCUGCAUGUAAACAAAGUUCAUUCUCUCACCAUUCUUUCACUACCACACCACCGUCCUCCGUCGUCGUCCUCACCAUGUCCUCCGCCGUCGUUUUCGCAACCAACGUCCUCCUCCGCCAUCUUUGCCACAACUGCCGUCGUUUUCACCGUCCUCCUCACCGCAACCGUCGUCCGGCACUGACCACCGUCUCUCUCAGAUCUAGAUCUCACCCCACCGGCGACAUCCUUUUCCCACUCACGUCGCCAGAGAUUUGAUCAUGCCUUCCGAAAUCCAUUCAGCCGCCGCUGUCCAAGAUCAGUUUUGUUUUUCAUCUCUCUAACGUAUCUCUCUCUUGGAGAGGAAAAGUUAAAAUGAAGAGAGAUGUAGGACUGAGAGAGAAUAGUUGCAGAAGAGGGGAGGAGAAGAUGGAGAGGGAAGAAAAGAAAAGAAAAAAAAAAGAGAGAAAAAUAUGUAUAAUUAUAUGGUGGUUUCUAUAUUGUGUCUAAAAAAUUAUAUUCAGUUAUCAUUUUUGAACUUAAAAAUAAUAGUUUAUGUGAAUUUAAUUUUUUUAGCUUUUUGAGAUGAAAAAACGUUUCUAAAAUUAUCACAAUCUAGUUCAUUAAACAUUUUUUUUAACCCGCCGAUUUCAAUGAGAAGGAGACCCUGAUAAUCCGGAGUUCGGUUUGGCCUAGGGGGUAACUUAAGUUUGGCAAAAAUUAUUCCACCUAAAAACCGUGCUCACAUUUUCCUGAACAAUUUGUCAUCUGGUAGAACUUAUUAGGCUUAAAUGUUCAAUUGGUUCCUUAAGUAUUUAUUUGGUAUCGCUUUGAUCCCUUAACUAAAAGAAAGAUUGUUUGAGUAUUUUAUCUUUAUCUCCGUUACCUAUUUUGGUCCCUUCCGUUAAAUAAAUUCAAAAAAACGUUAGGGUUUGUAUUAUUCAUCUUCUUCCUUCUCCUUCCAUCCUCUUCUUCAUGAUCUUCAUCAUCAAAAACACACCAACCCAGAAAAAAAAUCUUUUUCAUCACCAUGUUCAUCAAAUUUAUAAACAUAAUGAGUUUCAUAUCUUAAUCAAUAACCAAUUUUUCAUCAUCAUCAUCUAAAUCCUUUAUCAUCAUCAUCAUUAUCAUCACCAAUCCUUCACUACAACCC
rnacentral:lncRNA from 1 species